rnacentral:tRNA from 1 species
AAAUGCCCGUGAAAACCGAGCCAUUUCGAG